ACGGUCACAACGCUGAAACAUUGGUUCCCAUAUGAUCAUCAAAGUUAAGCAACCUUGAGCCUGGUCAGUAUCUAGAUGGGUGAAUGCUUGGGAAUACUAG